AAAUUGAAGAGUUUGAUCAUGGCUCAGAUUGAACGCUGGCGGCAGGCCUAACACAUGCAAGUCGAGCGGAAACGAGUUAUCUGAACCUUCGGGGAACGAUAACGGCGUCGAGCGGCGGACGGGUGAGUAAUGCCUAGGAAAUUGCCCUGAUGUGGGGGAUAACCAUUGGAAACGAUGGCUAAUACCGCAUGAUGCCUACGGGCCAAAGAGGGGGACCUUCGGGCCUCUCGCGUCAGGAUAUGCCUAGGUGGGAUUAGCUAGUUGGUGAGGUAAGGGCUCACCAAGGCAACGAUCCCUAGCUGGUCUGAGAGGAUGAUCAGCCACACUGGAACUGAGACACGGUCCAGACUCCUACGGGAGGCAGCAGUGGGGAAUAUUGCACAAUGGGCGCAAGCCUGAUGCAGCCAUGCCGCGUGUGUGAAGAAGGCCUUCGGGUUGUAAAGCACUUUCAGUCGUGAGGAAGGUAGUGUAGUUAAUAGCUGCAUUAUUUGACGUUAGCGACAGAAGAAGCACCGGCUAACUCCGUGCCAGCAGCCGCGGUA
rnacentral:rRNA from 1 species